AGGAAGUCACCUGGUAUGGAUGGAUUCACUGGAGAAAUGUGUAAAAGUGUCUGGAAGUCAAUUCCAGAGUAUAUGAAUGCGAUGUAUGCGAAGUGUCUGAAUGAGGGUUAUUUCCCCAGUGAAUGGAAGUGUGCGAGAGUGAUAGUGCUCCUGAAGUCGCCUGACAGGAUCAGGAGCAAUCCUAGAUCUUUUCGGGGCAUCAGUCUUCUUCCGGUUCUUGGAAAAGUUCUGGAAAGGAUUAUGGUAGAAAGGCUUCAGGAGAGAAUGAGUGACCAAAUGUCUGACAGACAAUUCGGUUUUAGGCAGGGCAGAUGUGUUGAGGAUGCGUGGAGGUAUGUUAGUGACUCUGUUGAGGCUAGCAGCUCCACGUAUGUCUUGGGCAUCUUUGUUGAUUUUAAAGGUGCUUUCGACUACCUGAGUUGGGCGAGUGUUAUGAGAAAGUUGGAUGAAUGCGGGUGCCGAGAAUUAGCUCUCUGGAAGAGCCAUUUCUCUGGCAGACGUCCGUGUGCUGUAGGGCGGUGUGAAUGUGUGAGCGUAAAUGUUGUUCGUGGCUGUCCGCAGGGAUCUAUCUGUGGCCCAUUCAUUUGGAACCUCAUGAUGGACCCCUUGCUGGUGCAGCUUGAGCAGAUGUAUAAAUGUUGUGCGUAUGCGGACGAUCUGCUCAUCUUGAUUGAGGGUCGGUCGCGUCUUGAGAUCGAGACGAAUGCGAGCAUGUGCUUGCGCACUGUGUAUGAGUGGGGUGAAAGUGUUGGGGUCAGUCUUGCAAUGGACAAGACAGUGUCAAAGCUGCUCAAGGGCAGAUUGGCAACUAGUCGGCCACCCAUUGUCAGACUGAAUGGAGUGAAUGUGAGGUAUGCGUCUGAGGUGAAAUACCUCGGCAUAACCUUUGGCGAGAGGAUGUGUUUCACUCCUCAUAUCGCUGGUCUCAAGGCCCGGCUACUUGGUUUGGUGGGGCAAGUGCGUCGUAUUUUGAGGUCUGACUGGUCUAUGAGGGUCUGUUUGUUGCAUGUGCAGCAUAUGGAUCGUCUGUAUGGUGCAAGGCGGUCACGACUGUGGUCGGCUGAAAGAAAGUGCUGGCUUGCCAGAGAGUGCUUCUGUUAGGUUGUUUGCCUCGGUGCCGCACUGUCUCUACGGAGGCAAUGCAGGUACUGUUAGGAGUAGCCCCUCUUGACUUGGAGAUCAGGCGUCGAGCCUUGAUGUACAGGAUCAAGAGGCGGCUGCCAUUGCUGCAGAAUGAUUGGCUAGCGGGUAGGGAUGUGGAGAGUUUAGGGCUUAGUGAAUGCAAGAGAUUAGUGAAAGAGUGUGUUUUGUCUGACUGGCAAGUCAGAUGGGACACUAGCGUGAAUGGGCGUGUCACUCAUUGGUUUAUACGGGAGGUUACAUUUGCCGGCAGCCGACCAGACUUUGGGUUCGGCCUGAAUCUUGGAUUCCUGUUGACUGGUCACGGUUCCCUCAAUGCAUUCCUGCAUUCGAGGAACCUUUAUGACAGUCCAGAAUGCCGUUGUGGCUCGGCUGCUGAGACAUGGGAGCAUGUUCUCUGUGAGUGCACAAGGUAUGCAGAUCUUCGAGAUCUGAGGGGGAUGGGUAUAAGUGAGGUUAGUGGCGGGUUUGACGUAAGUCAAUCACUCUCCACUAGUGAUAGGGUUAGAAGAAUGAGUGAGUUUUCUAGAGCUGCAUUUUCCAGGCGACGUUUGCAAUUGCAGGAAGGAAUUGUAUGAAUGAUGAUGGAUGGUAGAUGUGGGAAUGUGGGGGUACGAAUGUGGGGGUGUGUCUGAAUGGUAAUUUUUGUUGAACAUUGUGUUGUGUUGGGGCUACCAACCCUUCACUGUUUUGGAGUUUAAAUUGGAAGUGCCCUUCUGGUACGAGGCCUGACCGGAGGCUUUUAAUCUGGUACCACGGGUAACCAGGAGGCCACGGAACUUUUUCCGUCAUGGUUAGUUGGUGCGGCCCUUCGGGGAGUAUCGUGUUGGUUGUGGUUUAACACCCAAAUGCGGGUAGAGCAUCGCUCGACGUGGAGUUGCGUCAUACAACCGGGUUCCGUGACCCACAUUACGGAAGAGGCUUAGGUAGUCCUCUUGCCAAACCAAGGUAGAAGUCACAACCAAACAGUCGUGUCUUUAAUUGGUACCUGCGGAAUUGAUGUUCCAAGGAGGCGGUGAUUGACGCUUGAAUUAAUCCUAUACUAGGAACCGUGAGAUUAAGCCAUCGCGGCAGGUGCUCACGUUAAGCCCACUGACUUUCAUGUCCCUAUCUACUAUCUAGCGAAACCACAGCCAAGGAAACGGGCUUGGAAUAAUUAGCGGGGAAAGAAGACCCUUUUGAGCUUGACUCUAAUCUGGUAGUGUAAGGAGGCAAAAGAGGUGUAGAAUAAGCGGGAGAUAUUAGACUUCGGUUUGGUAUCGGCAAUGAAAUACCACUACUCUUAUUGUUUCCUCACUUACUUUAUUAAAUGGAACGUGUAUCAUUUCCUAGCCAUUAUACGGAUAUAAUUUUUAUGUCAUAUGGUAUUGGGUUUUGAUGCAAGCUUCUUGAUCAAAGUAUCACGAGUUUGUUAUAUAAUCGCAAACAAAUUCUUUAAUGAGAGAAUGCAUUUAUGUAUUAGUGAUUUAAAAAUUUGGUAUAACUCCAAUUACUCAGGUAUGAUCCAAUUCAAGGACACUGCCAGGUAGGAUAUUUGACUGGGGCGGUACAUCUCUCAAAUAAUAACGGAGGUGUCCCAAGGCCAGCUCAGUGCGGACAGAAACCACACAUAGGGCAAAUGCUGACUUGAUCUCGGUGUUCAGUACACACAGGGACAGAAAAAGCUCGGCCUAUCGAUCCUUUUGGUUUAAAGAGUUUUUAACAAGAGGUGUCAGAAAAGUUACCAUAGGGAUAACUGGCUUGUGGCGGCCAAGCGUUCAUAGCGACGUCGCUUUUGAUCCUUCGAUGUCGGCUCUUCCUAUCAUUGUGACGCAAAAUUCACCAAGCGUUGGAUUGUUCACCCAUGCAAGGGAACGUGAGCUGGGUUUAGACCGUCGUGAGACAGGUUAGUUUUACCCUACUAAUGACAAAACGUUGUUGCGACAGCAUUCCUGCGUAGUACGAGAGGAACCGCAGGUACGGACCAAUGGCACAAUACUUGUUCGAGCGAACAGUGGUAUGACGCUACGUCCGUUGGAUUAUGCCUGAACGCCUCUAAGGUCGUAUCCAUGCUGGACUGCAAUGAUAAAUAAGGGGCAAUUUGCAUUGUAUGGCUUCUAAACCAUAAAAAGUUUUUAAUUUGUUUUAUUAACGACAAUGGAUGUGAUGCCAAUGUUAUUAAUAACAUAGUAAAUUUGGAGGAUCUUCGAUCACCUGAUGCCGCGCUAGUUAUAUUUUAAAACAUUAUUU
rnacentral:rRNA from 1 species